GAUGAACGCUGGCGGCGUGCCUAAAACAUGCAAGUCGAGCGAACAGACGAGGAGCUUGCUCCUCUGACGUUAGCGGCGGACGGGUGAGUAACACGUGGAUAACCUACCUAUAAGACUGGGAUAACUUCGGGAAACCGGAGCUAAUACCGGAUAAUAUAUUGAACCGCAUGGUUCAAUAGUGGAAGACGGUUUUGCUGUCACUUAUAGAUGGAUCCGCGCCGCAUUAGCUAGUUGGUAAGGUAACGGCUUACCAAGGCAACGAUGCGUAGCCGACCUGAGAGGGUGAUCGGCCACACUGGAACUGAGACACGGUCCAGACUCCUACGGGAGGCAGCAGUAGGGAAUCUUCCGCAAUGGGCGAAAGCCUGACGGAGCAACGCCGCGUGAGUGAUGAAGGUCUUCGGAUCGUAAAACUCUGUUAUUAGGGAAGAACAAAUGUGUAAGUAACUAUGCACGUCUUGACGGUACCUAAUCAGAAAGCCACGGCUAACUACGUG
rnacentral:rRNA from 1 species